rnacentral:rRNA from 1 species
UGCGUAGGCGGAUUGGCAAGUCAGAAGUGAAAUCCAUGGGCUUAACCCGUGAACUGCUUUUGAAACUGUUAGUCUUGAGUGAAGUAGAGGUAGGCGGAAUUCCCGGUGUAGCGGUGAAAUGCGUAGAGAUCGGGAGGAACACCAGUGGCGAAGGCGGCCUACUGGGCUUUAACUGACGCUGAGGCACGAAAGUGUGGGUAGCAAACA